rnacentral:rRNA from 1 species
AUUGAACGCUGGCGGCAUGCUUUACACAUGCAAGUCGAACGGCAGCGGGGACUUCGGUCCGCCGGCGAGUGGCGAACGGGUGAGUAAUGCAUCGGAACGUGCCUAUCAGUGGGGGAUAACGCUUCGAAAGGAGUGCUAAUACCGCAUAUUCUCUGAGGAGGAAAGCAGGGGACCUUAGGGCCUUGCGCUGAUAGAGCGGCCGAUGUCGGAUUAGCUAGUUGGUGAGGUAAAGGCUCACCAAGGCGACGAUCCGUAGCGGGUCUGAGAGGAUGAUCCGCCACACUGGGACUGAGACACGGCCCAGACUCCUACGGGAGGCAGCAGUGGGGAAUUUUGGACAAUGGGCGAAAGCCUGAUCCAGCCAUGCCGCGUGAGUGAAGAAGGCCUUCGGGUUGUAAAGCUCUUUUGUCCGGGAGGAAAUCCUGGCCUCUAAUACAGGUCGGGGAUGACAGUACUGGAAGAAUAAGCACCGGCUAACUACGUG